CACACACACACACACACACACACACACACACAAUGAUUAGUACAGAGAGCUACUUAAGAGUUGGCAUGGAAAUGGUGGGUUGAAAGGACUGCUUCUGUCCUCUCCGACUCCAUUAGGACGCUAGAAUCGGUUACAUCCGGCUUAGCAAAAGAAACAGGGCUCAUUCUCCGAAAUGCUCUCUAGUGUGUGAGGGCAAGAGAGCGAGUGUGAGGGAGUGUAUGAGUGUGAGGGAGUGAGAGGGAGAGAGAGAGAAAAAGGAGAGGGAGAGGGAGUGGGAGAGGGAGAGGGAGUGGGAGUGGGAGAGUGAGAGUGAGAGAGAGAAAAAGGAGAGGGAGAGGGAGAGAGAGAGAAAAAGGAGAGGGAGAGGGAGAGGGAGAGGGAGUGGGAGUGGGAGAGGGAGAGGAGAAUGGGUACGAGUAUACAUGAGCUUUAGUUGGUCCUGUGAUGCCCUUCAUGGUCUAAGAAACUACCAGCCCUUCACGUCACAUGCUGGUGAUAAUAAACCUGAUUCUGACUCACUCCCAGGUCACAGACGAAGGACUGGAUGGCAGCUAGUGCAGUUGGAACCUCACCUCCCUGUGCUUUAGCACCUUCCGUUUAGAAAAAAAAAGGUCAUGUGCAGGAUGUCCAGCUUCUGAAACGCGUCACUUCUGACAGGAUCUCCCAGCGCAAGGAGGAGAGGAGGAGGAAGAUCACAGCGACACCAUUAUUUUCAAAUCUUCUCUCGCUCAAGAACAUGAGAAACAGGGGGCAGUUAGCAACUUGGAUCCACUACAGGCCUGCUGACUCCCUGCCACACACAGGUAACUGCUCCACACCCCCUUCAACCCUGAUUUCUCUAUACACCAUUCCAUUCUCCUAGUUCCUCAAUCUGUCAUAUCUGACCUGAUGACAACACUCCCAAGGUGCCUUACUCUUACUUUUAAUACAGUGUUUUCAACUCUCCAUAUUACACACUACCACUGCCAGUUUCUCUUCCUAGCAUCUCUUACCAGCCCUUUACCACCAUUCUGUAUAUCAUUUAUUCUCUGUAAUUUCCACCAUCUUCAACAUGAUGUCUCUACCAUGUUCACAUUCUCUUCUACUUUCAGCAGUGCGAAGGAAACACUCAUUCAGUGACACAAGGGUCCACGCUUCCAUCCCCACUGACACACUCAUUCAGAGACACAAGGGUCCACGCUUCCAUCCCCACUGACACACUCAUUCAGUGACACAAGGGUCCACGCUUCCAUCCCCACUGACACACUCAUUCAGUGACACAAGGGUCCACGCUUCCAUCCCUGCUGACAGCCACUCUCCUUCUCACAGUAGCUUCCAAUCAAACCGUAGAAGCAGCACCUCUUGACCUUUGACCUCUUCACACACACAAGUGAAGCACCCAUUCACUUUGACUUCUAGCUCAGUGCAUGAUAUGCCCACAGUUAUAUUCCAGAUACUAAACACAGGCUAGAACAUGACUGGCAAGAGCUUCUAUUCAGUCCAGAGGUGUUAACCCGGGUGGAAGAGCAGGCAGAGAAACUUUAACACCAGAUUUUGCUGUCUUGUCCAAGAAACUUCUGGAAACUGAAGCUGAGCCUGGGUGAAUUUGCUCAACAGUAAUUGCAGGAGACAGUGAGCAUUUGUUCAAACCACUCAUUGAAUUAUACCAUGAAAUAUAAAAAGAGCAGUACAAUAGCACUAUAUAAAUUCUGCACUGCUGCCAAUAUUGCUAGUUUUGCAUUUCAUUCCUGUGCUGUAAUCAUCGUUUGGAAGAAAUGGCAUAACUUGCAUUUGUUUCUUUACAUUUAUUUCCCACCUCUACAUUAGACAGAAGCAGAUGGGCUUUGCAUGAAAGCUGUAAGAUCUCUCUGCGGGGAGAGCUAGAAGAAAGAGCCAU